GCCACGGUGGUCUAGCGGUUAGAACGCUGGCCUUGUAAUCCUGGGGUCUCGGGUUCGAUUCCCGGCGUUGCC
rfam:Zootermopsis nevadensis contig19375, whole genome shotgun sequence.